AGAAAACACUCACUGACUGUAUGUUGAUUUUCUUGCAGGUGAAAUUAUGUCACUCCCGACUGGAACAGUGCUGACCUGUGAGAACACGGAGAUGGACCUGGUCCUCCCCAUCAGCUCCUUCACCAACAUCAACGUUGCUGAACUGCAGCUCAACAGCCCCGACUGCCCCGUCUCUUACAACGACACCCACCUGACCGCCAAGAUCCCCCUGGAGGGCUGCGGCACCAAGGCUGUGCACCAAAGUGAUGAGCUGAUCUACACCAACACGUUGAAAACGGUGCGCACCUCCACUCAGGUGAUUCGCCGUGAGCCCAUGCUGUUCCUCCCCUUGGCCUGCCGCAUCCCGGGCGUCCAGGCGAAAGGCCCGCAUUACCAGAUCGGCAUCCCCAAGGAGAAGGAGGUGUUCGGCGAGGUCGAGUUCAAGCUGGAGUUCUACUUACCGGGAAAAGGGCCUAUGUGGAAAUUCACCAAAAAUCCGGUGUUCCGCUCUGACAACCGAAUGGUGCGGGCGCGGCGAGAGAUCCGAGCGGACGAGGCCACCGUCGCAGCAAAGAACUCCUCCAACUCCUCCUCCAGAGUCGACACCCUGGACCUGUAUGUGUCGUCCAGCUGCACUGUGAAGAGAGCGGAGCUCAUCGUGAGCAGCUGCAUUGAGUCGGAAACCUCGGACUUCAAUGUGUCCAACCCACUUCUAGACGGAGGGUGUACAGCCUCUGCAAGUACCCUCGAGGUGAUCACAAAUAGCACUGUAACAAGGAUCUACCGCCUGGAUUUAAGGGGCAUAAGCUCUCAGGGCUCCUGGAUGUAUGUGCGGUGCACGGUGAACCUGUGCAUCACCAUCCUGCCCUCGUCGAAGUGCCCGGACCUCUGCACCUCCAAACUCACGCGCUCCAACAUGGUCAACAGUGUGUUCAGCAGCUCCUACACGAUCACGUCAGACCCGGUUAGCCUGGUUUUAACCACGGCCGCACCAACGACUGCGACCAGUCCUGCCAAACCGACUACUACCACUGUUGCCACGACAACCACCCCUGCUGCCACGACUGUCACCACCACCACCGCCACUACUACAAGCAACACCUCGCAUGCUCCAGAGAAAGCUCCGGCGGCGGCAGUGGGUGUGAUGAUGGCUCUUGCAUGUGUGUUUCUUCAACCCUUCCUUUACUGAAAACGACAAGGAGGAAAAGCACCUUUCUACCUUCCAUUUGGCCUCAUGUAGUACGUAAAAUGUUAUUUUCUUUAUGUCUCAAAUCGGGUGACCACCUCAAACAGUUCGGACUAGUUGAGCAAUUUGGUGGGAUCAGCAGUAACGAACUUGAGAGAGUAGAGCUUUCUCUAAAUAUCUCAUUUACUGAGUCUAAUAACUGAAGGUUGUCAAGAAGCCUGCAAACUAUUUAGUCUUCAGCCCCUUAAAACUCAUUGGUUCAAUUGUGAUUGUCUAUUUAGAGUGAGAUAGUUCUGUUAUAUUCUAAACCAUGUAACAAUUAUAGUAUAACACAUAUUUCAUAUUUCUAGUUGUGACAUUUAUGUUCAUUUAUUAGUAUCCUUGUUGCUAUUCGACCUGGAUAAGGGCCUAAAUGGCUGUUCAGUACAACCAAAGAGGAACAGGUGGUCACCUCAGUCUCAAGGGAUUGUGUCAAAACAAAUCCUGUACUUUGGCAUUGUAUUACCUGCUGUCUGAGUGCUUGUCAUAUGAAGGUUACUAGUUAUUCUCUAAACUUUGAACUGUAUGUUUCGACAUAAUAAAAAUAUAUUCAAUACCAGUCACUUGCUCUUUAUUUCCAUGUGGCUUCUGUUCUGCUUUAUAGGCUAUAAAGUGAAUUUGUGAGUAUUCCAGUGUAAUAAGCCCC
rnacentral:lncRNA from 1 species